CGGCGGACGGGUGAGUAACGCGUGGGUAACCUGCCUCAUACAGGGGGGUAACAGUUAGAAAUGACUGCUAAUACCGCAUAAGCGCACGGGACUGCAUGGUCCAGUGUGAAAAACCGAGGUGGUAUGAGAUGGACCCGCGUCUGAUUAGCUGGUUGGCGGGGUAACGGCCCACCAAGGCGACGAUCAGUAGCCGACCUGAGAGGGUGGCCGGCCACAUUGGGACUGAGACACGGCCCAAACUCCUACGGGAGGCAGCAG
rnacentral:rRNA from 1 species